AAGCCAAGAACUAGUUUCUCUAGCAUUUUCUGCUGGAUUAGUAAAGUUCAUUUACCCUUCUCCUAAUUUACUUGAAAUAAGUAAUCUAUCUGAAGGAGUGAAGAAAGCUAUUAAACAUCUUCGAAAGAAAAUUGCCGCUGCAAGAGAUGCAAAUAUCUUCAAGUGUAGUUCUACACUCCCUGACUGGUAUCAAGGAAAAACCUUUCCAAGUUACCAUCAUUUAGAAAUUGGUAUUGCCAAAACAAGAACAGUCAACCCUUCAAGGGUUGUGAAAGAAGAUUAUGAAGACUAUGAAAAAUGGUUAGAUAUUAGAACAAAAGGAUUUAUACAAAUCCUAAAUAACCUACAAAAAAUUAAAGCAGGAAGCUUUAAUAAAGUAAAUUAUUGCAGCUCCAAUUGCAUAAUUACUAGCUAUAGUGGAACUCCGUUACCACUACAUGAAAAAGAAGUUCUAGAAAGGAUGGAGCAACACAUUAUUUUCAAUAAAAUAGAAGCAGGCGCCGCCACUAAAGAACAACUUUGCCAAAAGUUACAACGCACAAUUGAAGAACAUCAGUUUGAAUAUUGUAAAGCAUCUUCUUCGGAAGAAAACAAAGCAUCUGCUGAAAAAAGCAGCUAUUCUUCAGAUAAAGACACUCGAGAACUGGACCCAACACAUGGGUUUGUCGACUAAAUAAACGUCAUCCAUGACGAUUGAUUAAGGGCUAUAAUGGUCUUUUGUAAAAUUAACUUCUACUAUAUAAAGAAGUUGAAUUCUCUAAGUUUAGGGCCCCCUCAUCUCUCGUAUCCUUUCCUUUCCAACUUUUCUUUUAUAACUUAAAUGUGUGUAAGCGAGUAAACUCCUUGCUAAAGGAGAGUGUUAUGUAAAUAUCAAGAAGUUCUUCCUUAUGGAAGAACAAUUAUGAAUAAAAAUAUCAGUUUCCUUUAUCCAUUAUGUUCAUCUUUAAAAUUUUGUAAAACCUGGAGCCCUGGAGCCACAAGAGUACCGUUUAGGCAGAAGGCUGUAGGGAAGAAUUGGUUGGGUUGGUCACUUGAAAAAAUCAAAUUAAAGAUUUACUUAGCCGGAUAAGAAGAAAGGUAAUUAUGAGCAAAGGAAAUGUGCCAUGUAGGCAAAAUUACGCAGGGCCAACAAGUAGGCUCAAUAUUCCCACACCAGUGACACCACUAGAAAGCAAACGCACCGAGUUAGAACGAUUGAGGAAGGAGUACAAACAAAUAAUGAAAGUUCUCGCAAGAUAUUUACAUGAGUAUGAUUACAGCGGAGAUGAUCACAGUGAAGAUGAUAGUUAUGAGAACGGGAUGGCGUGGCUUGUAGGAUUACGAGGAACACCACACCGCCCCCCUCGGCCCCGCACGGUUAUAGGAUGAGCAGCCCCACCUCGCGCGUCCUACUCUCAAAAAUUUGACUGUUGCCCCCUAUGUUACCGUUGGACCACAAUGGCUAUAAAAAAUAAGUUAAUUAAUUUAUAAA